rnacentral:sRNA from 1 species
AAAGUCAAUGUUUCCGGUGAUUAGUUGCAUCCUCUGUUCGGUGAUUCGGGUGAAUGUUUUGACCAGCUGGACGAUAUGAACGCAAGAUAAAUAGAACAGACAUAAAGUACAGCCCAGUGUAAGGAACAAGUUCAUCGCAAGAAGAAGAAUGUUAAUGCUACCACUGUCCAGAACUACUAAGUCUGCUGUAGCCAUGAUGUGAUCAUAUGAGUGCUUCACCGGUCUGGACAAUGCUCGAAAGUCCCCCAAAAAGGCCUAUUUCCAUAAACUACGACUCAGGUUACAUCAACAACAGCCAAGGACACUCCUUAUUGAUUCGAAUGGACACAUCUCUACGACCCGACUAAACCUCUGCAGAACAAGACUUUUUAACUGUAAAGUAUUCUCAUUUCAAAAAACCUAUAAACUAUAAAAGUACUUUUUUUAUAUGAUCAAAUACCAGUAUAUUACAAUGUCUGUCUGUAAGCUAGAAUCUUAGAAAAUCACAUGGUUUUGACUUAUUAAAUGAUUGAUUAGACCUUGCAGAUAUUAACUUUCAUUUUCUUAAAUAAUUUGUUAUAUUUGCAAAUAUUGCAUAAAAUUUUAGACUCCAUGUAACAUAUAUCCUCACACCUCCAAGUUGAUAAGUGUUAACUACUUUUUUUUUCCAUUUUCUUUGUUUAAACAUUUAUUGAUAACUUAGUUUUUAUUUGCAGCAAUAUAUGAAAAAUUAAGAAACCAAUCUUAAAUGUAAAAACACUGCAUUAGGAGAUGAAUGCAUGGGUCAUAGAAAUGAUAAAAUACACCAAACAAUAUUCAAUUAUGUCGUAUAUGAAAAUAUAUAAAGACAACAUAUACCCCAUGUAUUACAAUUUUUAUAUAACAAAAGUACUUGGAUGGAAUGUUGUUUCCAUGUGGGUUUUAUUUUAAUCUGUGUUAUGUAACUAAUAUAUAAUUGGAAUUAGCUUUUAUGUCAUAAGUAAAAUACUGGUAUUGAUGAGAAUUGUAAGGUGAAUGAUCUGUGUGAUACUUUGUAUUUUAUACAUUCAUGCUACAAAAAGCAAGUACAUGUACAUGUAGUAAUACUUGUCGUAUAUAAACAAUGUAUAUUUUACUUCAUGUCUUGGAUUUAGAAAUAUAUUAAUGUAGGUAAUUAAAAGUAGUGAAAUGUAGGAAGGUAAACCGUGUGUAAAGAAGAAUAUUCAUCAGGAAUGAAGUGUGUUGCAAUCAGCAUAAUUAAUUAAAUGUGUACAUCAUAUUUUUGCACAUGAUUUGACAGACUGCUCCAUUGUUAGCUUUUUAUUGGCCAACAAGCUUUUCAUAUCUCCCUAUGGGUCAUCUAUUAAAUACUGACAGGCUUAUGAUAUUAAAAUCUGAUCAGUUGGUACAUCAUGGGUGGAAAUGAAAAGUUCACUUUGGACUUAAUGGAUUAUCAAAAAAAUGAUAUCAAAUCCUGUUCUAUUGUAAAACAUUAGAUUAUAUUACUAACAAAGAAAAGGUUUAUCCCAACUUGUAAGUGGGUCACUUUGACCUCAUUUUGGAAUUUAUUGACAUAUUCAAAUCAAAUCUGGGUCAUACCUCUAUAGUCAACUACUAUCUUGUAGUGUAUUUUUUUUUUUUUAAAUGGAUACUUUAGACUUUUCAAAAAUAUUUUAUGGUGUACAUAUUCAUUGUAGUUCAAAACAAAUUGAGACAAGUGUAUCAUGUUCAUGUAACAGUGAAGUUUUCUUUGUUUAUUCAUGUGCGUGCAGUUAUUUUGUAAAUUGCAUUCAUAUUUUUAAAAAAGUAAGAUCUUUGUUGCAUUUUUAAAGGGAGAUUUGAUAGGCAUUUAAUCGAGAUGAAAAAAAAUACAAAUGUAAAGAUUUCUAUGGGAGGUUUUUUUCUUGUGCAAUUUUAUCAUUUUUUUAAAUAAAAGUCCCUAAUAAGGGAAUUGCCAUAUGGAUGUUUCUCCAUUAUUGUAUCUUGGCUGUAUUUUAUUUAUUAUUGGAAACAAUUUCAGAUUUUUGAACAAAAUAAAUUUGGAACUGUU